UUGCUGGCCUUUUCAUGAAUAAUGCAAUACUAUAAUUCCUCCUUAAACCACAACCCUCCUUCCUAGGCCAUUGUAAAUUCUUUCAUCUGGGAAUGACUCAACUCGGUUGUUAUUCUAAGUGAUUUUGUGGGGGAUUUUCUUCUAUUAAGUAAUGUAGUCUGCCAUACAUAACUAUAAGAAUUCUAAACUUACUUUGCUAAGCUUGCCCUGAGAUUUCUAGCUCCUAUCCAGUAAAAUACUGCAAGAAAGCAUGCAAGGCCCUCCACACUAUAGCAGGGACAAAUUUGGAGCAUUCAUGCUACUGGAUGCCAAGGCUCCAGGAGACUAAGUUUCCAUGAAACUUUUUGCCUCUGGACUGUGUUCAAGCUUUUGGGCCUACCACGCAGUUUUUUACUGAAGUGGGUGUGGCAUAAACCCCAUUAUUUUACUUUGUUUUUAGUUUUGAGACACAGGCUUACUUUGUAGCCUUGGCUGGUCUGGAACUCACUAUAGACCAAGCUGACCUUGAAUUCACAGAGAUCCUCCUGCAUCUGUCUCUCUCCCAUGUGCUAGGAUUAAAGAAUGUACUACCAUGUCUGGCUAGGAUUUACAAAAUUUAAGAAGCAUUACCAAAUAGUUCAAUCAAACAGCGCCAAAGAGACUGUAAUGAAAGGUCACUGUUCCACUCCUUCAAUGACCAGGGAGACUUCAGCUUUAACUUUGCCUGUGGGUGAUAGUGUCCCUGGAAAUUGGUAUUUAGCUUUUGAGAUUACAACAUACUUUCAAAGAUACAAUCUCAGUUUUUCUUCCCAACCAGUUGGGAAAGUUUUCUUUAGGCUGCCUUCCUGGUCUCAGGUCUUUCCCUCUACCCAACUUGUCUCUCAUCCCAGUGUCAGGAGGUCCCUCUGGGACUCUUGAUCUUUUGUAAGCUUUCCUUGGCUGGGAUGCCCUUCUCCUGGGCCUCUAGGGGGAAUAUAUGAGGCCUCUGACUUCCACAGGCCCCAGACUCACAUGCACAUGCAAACACACACCCACAUACACAUGUACACACACAUGUACUCACAUACUUAUACAUACUACACACAUGCACACAUACCAAUACAUAUACACACAACUCUCACAUGCUUACAUGCCCAUACCAACACACACAUGUAUAUACAACACACAAAUUCCAACACAUGUACACAAUACACAUCACACACACACAUAUUAACACAUACAAGCAUACUCACACUAAAACACACAUUCAUGCACGCAUGCAUGCCUGCACACACAUACACACACCACAACUUGCACAUACACGAACACACAUAUGCACAUAUACACAUAUAAACACACAUAUAUACACAAAGUAAAAAAUCUUUCGAAUUAACAUAAGAGCCAGUGACUAGAGAUGGAGAGGACGGGUCUACAGGGAAAGCACCAGCUGCCAGUCAGGAGGACCAGAGCUCACCUCCCCAGAGCAAUUGCAAAGCUGGACAGGCACCACCAUCUUGUUUAUGAAGUGUCCAUAAUUAACAUGCUUUUGUGUUCGUUGGGAAGGGUUUUUAAUUUAGAUCUGUGCAUAGCUUGGUCUGUAUCUAUUUCUGCAGAUCAUAUAACCUAGCCCUUCAAAACAUGUGUAUGGUAGCCCAUGUCUACCAUAAUCCUGGGGAAUUAGUCAUAACUCCUUCUCUCUGCCCAUGUACCUCUUUCCCCAGAUUGCCUCAUCUCAGAGAGGCUCUACCUACUUCCUCAUUUUUUUAAAAUUAUCAUUUUGUUGUUAGUAUGUUAUUUGUCUUUGAGACUAUGUCUUGCCUUGUGGGUCUGGUUGGCCUGGAACUCACUGUGUAGCUCAGGCUGGUCUCAAACUAGUGACAGUCACCCUGUAUCAGGACCCUGAGUUCUCAGAUCACAGAUGGUCCUUGUGACCAGCUCCAUGUCCAUCUCAGUCCCUGCCACAGCCUGGUCUCUCGGCUUCUUGUCUUGCUCUUCCUGCCCUCUCUGUUGCCCCUGAGGCCUCUUUAUUUACAAAACUCUCACAGUGUACCUGGUGCAAAUGGAAGGUUCUAGUAAAUUUCACAGUGCUCAGCAAACAGUUCAUUCUGAGAUCUGGCUCCCCCAACCCCCACUUCUGAAACCUCUUCUCUUUCCUUCCUAAAUUCUGCCAGUGUCUUGUUAGCUGUGUUAACUUGUCUGCCCCAGUUUUCCUCCAUCUUUUCUCCAGGCCCCGCAGGGCUGUUCUGUAGGCUCUGUUACCUGCCCUGAACUAACUCCUACUGACUCUUCAGGCCUCAGCCUCAUAGACUUGAAGGAAAUAAGGCUAAGACAUAUAAGAUGUCAUUGCUAGCCUUUAUUAUAUGUGUGUAUGUAUACAUGUGCCUUUAUUAUAAUAUGGAAUGCCAACAAUCCAGCAAUCAUUCGUCAAAGAAGAAUUGUGGUCCUGAUCAGUUACUGGUUAUGAUAGAGCUGAUCCCAGGUGAGCCUACGACAGGGCUUUUUGCAGAGCCAACCAGCCAGUCAGUAUUUCCAUCUUUUGACAAAAGGUCAGAAGGUUCCAUGAGAAUGCAGGCUCACUGAUGAUGAUGGCCAGUCUUGGUUAUCAACUUAACAGGGUCUGGAAUCAAGUAACAGGCAAGAUGAGACACUCCUGUGGAGAAUUUUCUUGAUCAGGUUAAUUGAAAUCGGAAGACUCAUCCUGAACGUGGAUUUCACCUUCCGUGGCAACUCAGCUCAGAUAGAAGGAGGUUCGAGAGAGUGCUUUUGUUUGUUUGUUUGUUUGACCCAGUCUCCUUUGAGUAUUGCUGGGGAGAUUAUCCACCCCAUUUGGGAGCUUGGCCAUAGUGCUGUCAUCUGUGUUCCUUCACUGACAUCAGACGCCAGCCUCUUCAGCCUUCAGAUAGGGACUGUAGACUAGAGGCUCUCCAGGAAUCCUCCAGAGUUUCAGCACCAGGUUGAGAUUGCUGUGGUGAGCCUUGUGGACUGAGCAGCUACUGAGUAUCAGUCUCUCGAGGGACACAACCAUUGGAGUACCCACAGCAUACAGGAUGAGCCAGCCCAAUUCCCUGUGGUAGAUGUUCACUUUAUCUGUUUUGUUCCUCUAGAGAACCCUGGUACCCAGAUAUGUCAUUAUGCCACUUGCCCAGUACCAUGAGGGCGAAGCCAUGCAGGGGGCCGGAGACAGUGUCAGAGAGGAAGUGAGGUAGAGCUGACACUAGCAAAGUGUUUGAAGGGUAGAUGGGGUGCAGGAGAUAGGAGGACAAGGAAACAAGGAGGCAUGCCAUUUCAAAAGAGGAAGCAGGUACUGAGCUGUGUUAAGCCUGCCUUACUCACUGUGACCCGGGUACAGCAUGCUUGGUGUAUACAGUGUGCACACUAUCUACAGUGUAUACACUUCCUCUCUGCCUUGGAGGGUAGGUGGGUGGGAAUUGAGCAUCUCCAGCACCUGCUUGAUGCUUGCACCUUUAUCCUUCAGCAAGUUGAAAACACCUUCUCUGACCUUCAAAUGCUACUAGCUCUCUAGAGCUGCUUUCUCUCUGGAGCCAUUCUGACCUUUGUACCAAAUAAAUGGGCAUCUAUUUUUAUUUUGGGCCAUUUUUUUUGUUUGUGAGACAAUGUCAUGUAGCCCAGGCUAGCCUGAAACUUGCCUUAUAGCCAGAAAUAAGCUUGAAUUUAUACUCCUCCUACUUCUGCCUCUGGGAUUGGGAUGAAGGUGUUCUUGUGUCUGGUUUUAUGUGGCUCUAAGGACAGAACCCGGGGCGCUGAGCAUGCUAGACAAGCACUCUGUCGAUGUACCCUCAGCCCAUCCUGUUUUGUCUGUUACCGCUCAAGAUUUCACGAUAAAUCCCACCUUCCCCUUGAAGACGGGGAAGGUGAUUUCCAUUCGCUUUUCAGUUCCUCCAGUCGUCAAGUCCCAAAUCCCAGUGUGGCCAGGCAGUGCUCCCUGAAGGGAGUGUCUGUCAGCCCGAGUCCUGAGCACCCAUGAAUCUAAUGGCAAACAGUGGCUUCCUUCCAUCUGCAUGCUGUGAUGUUUACUCAUGGGCUGUGGUGUCACUUAAAUGCUGCUGUCCUACAUCUCUGACUUUUAGAGAAGUGAUGAGUAAUAAUUUUACAGGAAUUUAGAGAGGAUGCCCAUUCAAAGGCCCUGGCGCUAAUCAACUUUUGUAUUUACUGUUAAUUAACUUCUUGUCCAUGGAAAGUUGUUGCCAUCUGGGAAGACUUGGACUUAGUAGAUAAAAUAAGUCCUUGUUCUGCUUUGCUGAGUCCCAGCCUAUGACACUAGACAAGCUAUUUAUGUACUCUGUGGACUUGUAACUACAAUUUUCUGCAUUAAAAUUACUUUGUUUUUAAAUGCGUGUUUGUGUGUGUGUGUUUGAGAGAGAGGAGGGAGGAGAAGAGGGAGAGGGAGGUGUGUACAGGUACCCAAGGAGUCCCAGGAUGGUGAGCAUAGGGGAGAUGGCUUAGCAGGCAAGAACACUUGCUGUUCAAAUACUCAGCAACCAUAUAAGAAGGCUGGCAAGUCCUUCAGGAACCCACAGCCAAGUUAAGCAUGGACUAGAAAUCCCUUGAGCCACCAGCUGCUUAGGUCCUCUGUCCCUGGUGUCAUCCAAGUGGCUCAAGCCUGGCCCAGUGCUUGCCCCUCCCAUGUCACUGUUUCCUUACAUAUCCACAUCCACACCUGACCACAGCUGGAGACCCCAGCUUUGCAAUCAUGUGAUUGGUCUGAAACAUUGUUUCUGUCACCUGACUUCCCAGCUAGUGUCUGGAGCCCUUGGAACUCCAGUGUAAUCUCUAGGGUACCCACCAUCAAGCCCUACCCCCCUCCCCAAGAAGUCACAUGUGGUCACACAAACCUGUAACCUCGGGUACCUCUUGGCUGUGAGCAGAGACAGGUGGAUCCCGGGGCUCAGUGGCUGCCAGCCUAGCUCCACAUUCAGUGAGAAACUCUGUCUCAAGGGAGCACCCAUGAAUCUAAUGGCAUCAGAAAGUGAAGCAGGCUACCCAAAGCUUUUCUCUGGCCUUCACACAAAGUGCACACAACAUUGUGUGUGUGUGUGUGUGUGCGUGUGUGUGUGUGAGUGAUGUAUAUCUACAUGCACAAAUAAGUAAACAGUUUAGAGAAUAACAGCUGGUGAGGCUGUUUAAACUAUAAAGAUUAAAUGUGGAAUAGAUAUGAAGUUAUUGGUAAUAUGUGACAUGUAAGCUGUCCAUUAAAAGUCAGAGAGUUUUAAUCUUUUUAUAGACUAAUGCUGUCUUUUUUCUGUUAUAUUCCCAACAUUCAGACUUCACAGAGAGGUAGGGAAAGAUCUUUCAAGGCACCAAGGUUCAUUCUUCCAUCUGUGAGCGCCUAGGGGAGGGUCUAGAAUUGCCUCCUCAGGCAGCUCUCUCUCUCUCUCUCUCUCUCUCUCUCUCUCUCUCUCUCUCUCUCUCACACACACACACACACACACACACACACACACACGUCAGAAUUGCAGUGUCUGCCUCACUCAAGGUCACAAGGCCAUCAGGGCAGGUGUGGGAGACAAGAUGCCUGGUCUUCCUGUGAUGCUACCUGUGAAGUAACAGCAGCGUGGGCAGUUGUCCAGACCAACCCCAGAACAUUAAUUAGCUUUGACAGAUUCUAAAACCUAGGCUGCCUCCUUCAGAAAUAGGGAACUGCUUGGACUUGUCGGGAUUGGAUGGUUGGCAGCACCAACACAGAGGCAGACCCCAGAGCUGACUCCAGAAGCAAAGGGAACGAAGACUAUGAAGAGGAACAGUUGUGUCUGAUAGCAGAUGCCACAGAGGCCAGGCCUCAGACCCUGCUGGUGGUACAGCCCAAAGGUGCAACCUGGGGAACUCACCUAGUGUCUCCUGAGCCUCUGUAAAAUGAGAGUUCUACUACUUAAUUUUUACUUUUAUUUAAGAAUUACAUUUAUAUGAAAGAAUUUCACAAGUAGAAGAAAACUACCUGAUUAUGAAAUGGUUGUGAAUUCAUCUAUCUGACAUAAUUGGCAUAAUUACUUGGACACCACAUGGUGUGUGCAUCCCUGGGCCUCCCCAAAGCUUUUUUUUUUUUUUUUUUCUGAGACAGGGUUUCUCUGUGUAGCCCUGGCUGUCCUGGAACUCACUCUGUAGGCCAGGCUGCCAGGCUGGCCUCGAACUCAGAAAUUCACCUGCCUUUGCCUCCCAAGUGCUGGGAUUAAAGGCGUGCGCCACCCCGCCCGGCUUCCCCAAAGCUCUUAAUGAAAGCCCAUGCCCUGCAAGAUGCAGCAUAGCCCCUGUGUGUGGUGUGUGUGUGCACACACGCGCGCACACACACAUGUGCACACGCUUGUGUUCAGGCCAGAGGAAGAAAUCCUCUUUGCCAUCCCUGAGGUUACAGGGUAUAGGGCCAAGUCUAGCUGUCAUUUCUACAUCUGUCUUGUCUGUCUUGUCUGUCUGUCUGUCUGUCUGUCUGUGUAUCUGUUUAUGAGGGAGCACACAUGUGGAGGUCAGAGAACAAGGAGUCAGUUCUCUCCUAUUACGUGGGCUCCGACAGUUAACUCAGGCUGUCAGGGUUAGUGGCGAGUGUUGCCAUCUCUGAGCCUCAAGCCUGGUUUUCUAAUUUAAACCUUGGAGAUCUGAACUCAGGCCCUGGUGCUUGCACAGUGAGGCAUUUACUCACUGAGUAGCCACCCAGUCUACCACGGAGCUGCCUUUAAAAACUAAAUCAACAACAAAAAACCUGGGUUUCACUAUGUAGCCUUGGCUGGCCUGGAACUUACCAUAUAGAGCAAGCUGGCCUUGAACUCUCAGAGACCUCCAUGACUCUGCAUCCCAAGUGCUGGAACUAAUGCCAUAUACUAUUGUGACACCUCUACAUGGCUUUUUAUAAUUGUCAGACAUGACUACUGCCACAGCUCAGAGAGGAAGUAAGAACUUUCCUUGGCUACAGCAGCCUUGACGCUGGCAGCUUGCAGCUCAGCUAAGAUUUCCCAAGGGCCUGAAUGAUAGCUUUGCUCUACCCAGCCCAAACCAUGAACCCCAGUGUACUGGCUGGUUUUGUGUGUCAACUUGACACAAGCUGGAGUUAUCACAGAGAAGGGAGCUUCAGUUGAGGAAAUGCCUCCAUGAAAUCCAGCUGUAAGGCAUUUUCUCAAUUAGUGAUCAACAGUGGAGGGCCCCUUGUGGGUGGGACCAUCUCUGGGCUGGUAGUCUUGGAUUCUGUAAGAGAGCAAGCUGAGCAAGCCAGGGGAAGCAAGCCAGUAAGUAACAUCCCUCCAUGGCCUCUGCAUCAGCUCCUGCUUCCUGACCUGCUUGAGUUCCAGUCCUGAUUUCCUUGGUGAUGAAUAGCAAUGUGGAAGUGUAAGCUGAAUAAACCCUUUCCUCCCCAACUUGCUUCUUGGUCAUGAUGUUUGUGCAGGAAUAGAAACCCUGACUAAGACACCCAGCUUACAUUGAAGCCCCAUGGGCCAC
rnacentral:lncRNA from 1 species